GCCCGGGCAGUAGCGGCGUUGGCACCGACAGGAAGCGGAGCCGUGGCCGAGGCCCGACGCCGUCUCCAUAGCGACCAGCGGCGCUCCGGAGCUGUGAGUCUGCUCCGGGCUCAAAAAUGUUUACCUCCCUAUGCAAAAGUAGCUGUUAAAGAUAUUGAAAGGAAGCAAAGCUCUAGACAACUUCUAUUUGCCGAUAACAUUCGCCUGCAAUCAGCAAUGGUAUCAAGAAGGUCAAGACUUCAAGAUUGUUCUACACAUCAAACAAAAUCAGUUCAGAGCUGUGAUGGAGUAUCAGAUGUAUAGACAGCUACAAAUCAAGCAGUACAGACAAUUUCUGUCUUAUAUCACCAUCCAAGAGAAACAGAGCUGAAAGUGUUCCCACAGGUCAACUAAGCUGCUGGAGGAGUGCUCUGAAAAGCUGAAUCUGAACAUGGCUGCACAAUGAGUGUUCUUGGCAGACGACACUGAAGCACUAGAACCUAAAGACAUACCCCAUGAUGCCGACGUUUAUAUUUCGACUGGAGAGAUCUUUUUAUAUCCAUUCAAAAAAAUAAAAGACCAUCUGUCAUUACUGAAGAAAGUAUUUUGGACAGUCAAUGGCCUGGUUCUUCAUAAUGGUGUCAAGCAAAACAAAACCAAGUUUGUCAUUUCCAACUAGAAAAUUAUUGAGGACACUUUGACAGAAUUUUAGUGUUUAAGAACCGUGCAGGGCAGGAUAACUGUGAAACUAUUGCAUCACAAAAUCAAAUUGAAAAGUUCCAUGAACAAUGAAUUUCUCCUGGUCAAAGUAUUGCCAUUUCUGUCAUCAAAAAGUAACUUGUGUGCUAUCUAUCUUAGACUUUCUUCCAGAGAAUGACAGUUUUGAGAUGAUUGCACACUGAGGAUGAAUGUUACUUCUCCAUUGAGAAACUAAUGCAACAUAUGUGGAGAAAAAAAUUGGCAAUAUCAUAAGUGCUCCUCUGCUUGACAGAUGCCUGCAAAAUUCCAUCACACCUUUUGUGUGGACCUGUUUGGGUCUUUAAGAGAGAAGGUUUCAGCCUCUCAGGAGCAAAGAUUUAUAUCCAAGGAGUUCAAUUGGCCCUGCACCAACGAUUACAGUCUGCAAACUGUUGCAAACAGAUGAUUUCUCCCUCAUGGCCAGCUUCAGUACCUUUACUUGCAUGAUGAAAAUGAAUAGUAAAGACUGUGUCCGCUCUCCUUAUCGCUGCCAGCCUACUUUCUGCCAAUGUGUUUGGAACAAAGGAAGAACCCCAGUGGUUGGGUGUUCCCACUCAAAGGACGGAUGGAAAGCUUGAAAUGAGAGCAUUUAACGAUCCUCCUAAAGGCUUCUGGCCCCCUGAGAAGUAUGGAAGUGGUUCCAGGUACUGCACCACCCAGCGCCCAAGCACCUAGUACAGGAAAGGUCACGCUUCUGUUGGAAUGAGUCUGCAUUUGAACGGCAGCACUCACCAUCGCGCCUGUGAGCAGCUCUAACCUAUGACCAGCGAAGAAGCUCCUAGAAGUAAGAAGCUACUCUUAAGAGUAACUGCAAAGCAGUUGUCGUGUGGGAUGUAGCUGCAGCUCUCUGAUCCUCUUUGGUGGAAUUAUAACAUCCAUCGCUCAGAGAAUGUAGGCCCAUUUAUUUUCUUUUUUGAAUAACUCAAUCGGUUGUCAAUAUUUCACAUGUCCUUCACUGUCGAUAUUAAUUUUAAUAUCACUUGACAUUAGCCUGAAUACCAAUUCAAUAAUACUUCCAUGUUAAAUGAUCCAGCUUUAUCUGUAAAUAUUCCUUAUUUUUGUAAUUCAUCUAACUAAACAAUUUCUUGUAAGUGUAAUUCAAAUAAAAGCUGUUGUAUGACAU